GCAUCGGCUAUAUAAACACGAGUCAAUAGGAAUCGGCCAUAACAACCUGACACGCUAUAUCGUCGGUUACGUGUCUACCCAUAUGCUAGGAUAGUAUCUUUUCAAAUAUCUUCCAUUCAAAGCUGAUGUAAAUUUUUCCCCUUCAAUGGUCUCUAGUAUGUAUGCAUUUCCCAGUGCACAUCAACCGAUUUUAUAUGGCCCUUCCCACGUAGGCGACGACUUGCCGUAUUUGGGAUCCUUAGACCCUAUCGGCAGGACCAAUUUCCA
rnacentral:lncRNA from 1 species